GACGAUCUUCCUAGCGACCGCUGCCGCCAAGCAUGAUGACGGUGUUCGGUCGUGGCAACUGUGCAAGUUGGGGGGAGACAGCUGACCCUGUUGUCCUGCUUAUGUCCCGUGGGACACGGACGUCGCGUCCCUGUCGCCGGAUACGCGGGGCACGAGAACGGGCGGAGCUCCCUCCUGUGUCGGGCGGCGCAUGCCAUGAGUGCCUUACGACGAAUCAGGGGGAGCCGCGGCCAUUGUAGCCUGCGCGGUCGUGGCUACAGUGUUCUGCUCAGGUACUUGUGGCAGGUCACCUCGAGGGGCGCGGGCGCCUUUCUGCGCGCCAGAGCCGCGGUGCAUUUAUGGCGAGAUCAGUAGGGGGCCCACGAGAUCCGCGCCCUCGUCCGCCGACCUGCGCCCGAGGCGGAUACUUAUCUUGUGGGCCCGGAUGAGUCCUACCCCCUACGCCCGGGGUCGGGCGAGGCAGAGUCGUGCGACGAGGGGUCGGGCGCUCCCAACCUGGGACCGCGGGUCGGGCGAGGCGGAGUCCUGCCAUCAAGGGGUCGGGAGUGUUCGACCCUGGGACCCUAGGUCGGGCGAGACGGAGUGGGAUGCUCCCUGCCUAUGUCGGGUUGGCAGCGAUCGUCAUUAGCGUAGGUGGGCCUGGGCCUUCAUGAUUGU
rnacentral:lncRNA from 1 species